GAGGAAAAGGGGUCUGUAACAGAGCUGCUAACUCAUGUUUCGGGUGGAUCGUCUCCACUCUUUCCUCU
rnacentral:tRNA from 1 species